rnacentral:tRNA from 1 species
UCCCUGGUGGUCCAGUGGUUAAGAAUCUGCCUUGCAAUGCAGGGGAUGCAGGUUCGAUCCCUGGUCAGGGAA